AUGAAUAGUCUGGUCUACCCUUUGAUCCAGACUAGCACUGCUGGGUUUGUACCCCAAAGAGAUAAUAAGGAAAAAGAUUUGUACAAGAAUAUUCAUAGCUGCGCUCCUUGUGGUAGCAAAAAAUUGGAAAAUGAGGGGAUGCCCAUCAAUUGGGGAAUGGCUGAGCAAAUUGUGGUAUAUGUUGGGGAUGCCCAUCAAUUGGGGAAUGGCUGAACAAAUUGUGGUAUAUGUUGGGGAUGCCCAUCAAUUGGGGAAUGGCUGAACAAACUGUGGUAUAUGUUGGUGAUGGAAUACUAUUGUGCUCAAAGGAAUAAUAAAGUGGAGAAGUUCCAUGGAGACUGGAACA
rnacentral:lncRNA from 1 species